CCUACCCUCGGGUGGGGGAUAACCUCGGGAAACUGAGGCUAAUACCCCAUAGGCCUCGGAUACUGGAAGGUUCCGAGACCGAAAGCUCCGGCGCCCGAGGAUGGGUCUGCGGCCUAUCAGGUAGUUGGUGGUGUAAAGGACCACCAAGCCUACGACGGGUACGGGCCCUGAGAGGGGGAGCCCGGAGAUGGACUCUGAGACACGAGUCCAGGCCCUACGGGGCGCAGCAGGCGCGAAACCUUCGCAAUGCGCGAAAGCGCGACGAGGGGAGCCCGAGUGCCCUUCCUUUCGGGAGGGCUUUUCUGGAGCCUAAAAAGUUCCAGGAAUAAGGGCUGGGCAAGACGGGUGCCAGCCGCCGCGGUAAUACCCGCAGCUCGAGUGGUGACCACUAUUAUUGAGCCUAAAGCGUCCGUAGCCGGA
rnacentral:rRNA from 1 species